ensembl:lncRNA
GGGGUGCCCAACCUUUUUUGACCCAAGAUCUACUCUUUAAGUAGCCAACCUCCCGAGAUCACCAGUCCAGUGUCAACAUCGCAAAUGCACACACAUCGUUUCCAGCCUGCCAUACUAACCUCACAACACUUUUUCUUGUUGUCACACAACUACUAGACAUCACAACACAAACCCUCCCUCUCUCAAACACACACACAGACAAAUUCCUCACACAGUUGCCAGUUUGCAUAAUGCGCUGUAGCACAAACCCGCGCUCUCUCUCUCUCACACAAGCACACUCACACAUGCACACACACAGCAAUCUGCAUGAUGAGCAAUAGUCAUAACUGACCUUAAUAUGAACCAAACAGAAAAAUGAACUAGAUACAAAACAGGUUGAUAUCGGAGUUUGAAUAAAGGAAAUCACGUUCUACCUUAGUGGGAGACCUGGCACUGGGAGGAGGAGGCUAGCUUCUCGUAGUCAGGAGUGUAGGAGCUGGUUGCAAGGCGUAGGCAGGCUGCAAGGUGGUCAUCAGUCAUUGUUGAUCUGUACUUGGACUUGAUGAUUUUUAUGUGCAAGAAAGCAGACUCGCACAAAUAAGUUGAUCCAAAAUGUUAGGUUCAAGGCACUUCUUCUGAGAUUGGGAUACUUCUCCUCCACCAGUAGUUUCCAGAACACUACAUGCUCUCCAGGUUGAGCAGAUGUAAUUUUGUAAUUUUGUAAUGUAAUUUUGCAAAGUCAGAAUCUCAUCCUCAAGAGCGGAGCUUUCCAAGUCGAAAAGUGAUUUGACUUUGGCGGCAAUGUCACCAACAUCAAUACUUGCACCAAAUGGAUAACACAUAUAGCUGGCUACAGGCUCGAUGGAUGCAAAGUCAGUAAAACGCCUCUCAAACUCUGACAAGAUGCUCUGAACAUGCUCUUCAUAACGUGCACUGUCAAGCUCUGUCACACCUUUACCUUGACGUUGUAGUUCUGCGUGCAUGUGAGAGAAGUUGCGCAGGUUACCACGCUGCAGCCUACUUGACAUCAGCUGUAGCUUGCUUUUAAACGUGUUCACUGAACUCAUCAUGUUGACUUCAUCUUUACCCUUACCAUGCAGCUCUAAAUUCAAUUCAUUGAGCUCAGUGAGAUCAGUGAGGAAAGAUAAAUCUAAAAGCCACUGGUGGUCCUCUAGUUUUGUAUGGUAAUCCACAUGUUUUGAAAGCUUCAUGAAGUCCUUGAUUUCAGGCAAUAGCUCCGUGAAUCUGGCCAAAAAUGUACCUCUGCUUAACCACCUAACAUCCGUGUGAAGCAGCAGGUCUGUGUGCUCAGCAUCAUUCUCCUCCAAGUGAGCACGGAAAAGCCUUCUCUGCAGACACCUGGCCCGAACCGAACACACAAUCUUCAUCGCAAUAUCCAUCACUUCUUUCAUAUUUAAAAUAUUUCCACACAAUGCUUGCUGGUGAAUUAUACAAUGAUAAUUCAGGAUAUCCGGGAAAGAUUCACUUUCUUUGCACAGUGCAACGAACCCACUGGUGCGGCCCC